GAGAUUGUAGUUCAAUUGGUAAGAGGCUAAGAGCACUGCCCUGUUAAGGCGGAAGCUGCGGGUUCGAGCCCCGUUAGUCCCG
rnacentral:tRNA from 1 species